AAUGCUCCAGAAACGGUCCUACGUAUCCAAGCAUUUAUCGACCAUGAUUGCUCUGUAAAUGUAGCACCGAGAAACUGCUCGGGUGAACUGAGCCGUCACCUUCUUCAUCGUUUAAACCCCUGUCUGUACCACCUGCUCGAGUCACCCUCUCUACCACCGGCCGCCUUCUCUCUGGAUUUUCUUCGGUUCUCCGUGAUGCUCGCUCAAAUGGAGGUGUCAACUGUCAUGCUCCAAAUCUGGUGCCUAAUCUGAAUCAGACUCAUCGGUUACAUCUCUUGCCGAAACCUGAACUUUAUUACUCCCUCCGUCUCAAAAUAAGUGACGUGAAUUUGUAUAGAUUCUUAUACAAAUCCACCAAAUUAAUAACCGAAUCCACCAAAUUAAAUUCGUUAAUCACGCUUAGCCAUCAAAAUUUGUAAUGGUUAAUUCAGUUUUGGCUAAUCCGGUUUCGGUUCCGGUUAUUAAAAUAUAAGAAGUCAAGUUUGACCAGAUUUAUAAAAAUGUAUCAACAUCUAAAAUAUCAAACAAGCAAUCUAUAAAAUAAUUUCAUGAUAGGUUUAUUAAACUAAUCUAGAGUCAUAAAUGUUGAAUGACUUUGCUAUAAACUGCAAUUUUUUACAAGUUACUUACAACAGAGCUACUGCCUUUUAAAUUUAAGAACUGAGAGAGUAUUUCUGAAUUUAAAUGGGAUAAUACUUUAUAAAUACUUUAUCCCUUAUCCAGUACAAACUAAGGGUGGGAGAAUUGGAGCCCUAUCCCUGCAUCCACGUGUCGUUAUUCCUUUCAUUGGCGUGUCGUGAUAUCUGCCGUCUGCCGCUGUUCCUUUUCCGGCCAAUUUCGUGAUCCCGAGUUCUCGACGCUACCUUCGUAUCCUCGUCUAGUCUUCUCUCUACAGGCGCAGGACUAACUCAGGUACCGGACGUUCUCCUAGCGAGCGGGAGCACGCGAGCGAAGCGCGAGACGGAGCGGAGCGGGAUCGAGCGAGCGUGCCAGCGGAGCUGGCCUGGAACUUCGUCCCUCCGCUUGAGUCGGCCCACGUGAUCUGCUUGAUUCGGCUCAAGCCCAAAACGCUUUUACCUCUGCUUCUUCCUACCUCCACUGCUACUUGUUGGCUCGUUCUCAAGAUACCAUCGAUGCCCCAUGGAAGCCACCUCUUUCCAAAACAAAAAACCUGGCCGAAUUUACCUAGCUAGACAAGAAAAAAACCCUCGUAUCUAGCACAAAAAGUUACCACCCUGUAUGCUCUAAGGGGAAAAAUACGCUUAUAUAUAGUCAUCCAUGUACCUCUUUCUCCUGUCAACAUAUAUUUUGCACAUAAUUCAUGUACUCCA